CCUUCACGUUACCAUUCACCCUAAAAAGACCUUCUUGGCUACUGGCCACGGGCAAACAACUAAAGGUGGUCUCUGGCCAACGACCAGUGAAUAACUGAAAACCCUCAGGUCAACAGCUCACAAGUAACAGAAUCCUGCCAACAACCACAUGAAUGAGCUUGGGAGGGAAUUUUUCCCCUGUUGAGUCCUGAUAUGACUGAAGCCUUGGCUGACACCAUGAUCACGGCCUUGUAACUCUAAGACAGAGGACACAACUAAGAUGUAUCUGGAUUCCUGACCCACAGAAACUAUGAGAUAAUGAUAAAUACUAUUGUUUUAAUCUAUUAUGUUUUGGGGUAAUUUGUUAUGCAGCAAAUGGGUAACGAAUACGAUACGCCUUUCCCUUAAGUUCUGUGGAAUAUCAG
rnacentral:lncRNA from 1 species